CAGUAGCCGCGGGAAAACGGAGGGGGCUAGCGUUGUUCGGAAUUACUGGGCGUAAAGCGCACGUAGGCGGCUUGGUAAGUUAGAGGUGAAAGCCCGGAGCUCAACUCCGGAAUUGCCUUUAAGACUGCCGAGCUAGUAGGUGAGAGAGGUAAGUGGAAUUCCGAGUGUAGAGGUGAAAUUCGUAGAUAUUCGGAAGAACACCAGUGGCGAAGGCGGCUUACUGGCUCAUUCUAGACGCUGAGGUGCGAAAGCGUGGGGAGCAAACAGGAUUAGAUACCCCUGUAGUCCCUGUCUCUUAUAA
rnacentral:rRNA from 1 species